AGAUCCCUCCCCCACACACAUACACAAGCAUACACAAGUAUUCAACUUUCCAUUUCUUUUUGAACUUCAUUGCGCAUCUUCAAGUCACCACUGCCAUCACUACAGCCCCCACCCCCACCCCUUCUCCCCGUCUCACGCCACAAAACGUCACCUUACCUCUCCCUCAUUUUGGGUUUCUCUUCACGGACGACAGUGGAGAGUACUACGGUACACAUACACACAUAGUGAAAGGCGAAAGAGGGAAACGAUACGAAGCUCACUUUUUUUCUGAUUCCUGAACUAGAACAUCGAUUCACUUCUUGUUCCUAUGCUUACUCGGUUUGGGCCACUUGCUUCCCUCCCUCCCUCCCUUCCAUCAUCUCGCACCCACCCAUCGUAACACGGCGUACAGCUCCUCUCUCCGCAAUUCCCUUGUUUUGGUGUCUUUUGGUGUUUCUGGUGUCGUUUUUUUCUUGCCUCUUGAUUUUAUGAAUCUUUAUAUGUAUUUGUUGUUGUUUGCGUUCUCCUGCCUUCCUCCUCCCAUGCUCAUCAAAAGUAGCUUCUUGACUAUCUCGUUUGAUUGCGUGCGCGUGUGUUGUUGCACUCGUUGUUGGCUUUGCCUUCAAGCGCUUUCCCCUUUCCCCUCCCUGCUUCCCCCCCCCCUUUUUACUGGCUCAUUGGCACUCACACAGCCAACUCUUGACCACCGCCGUUGCACCAACAAGAAAGUAUAACUUCUUUCGCUACAGUUUUUUUUUUUCUCGUUACAUUGUCGCUUUAACGGAAUGUUACCCUGCCGCCGUUUUUCAAGCGUCGCAGCCUCGCAGUCGCGCUUGUGGCAGCAUGUCGCAUCCUAUACACUGCGCCGCACCACAGCACCGGCGAUACUUGCAACGGCUCAGAGCAGCUGUCUCGGCAUGGGUGGCUGCGCAACGGCGACACAGCGACGUUGCGCAGCCACCGACUCGCAUACAGGCGCUUCCGUAGUCGUUUCGGACCCCGAAAAGGCCGCUCGUGAGCGCGAUCGCAUUGCUCGCGGCCUGCUCACCACCAACUUUCCCGAGCUGCACGUUAACCAGCGCUCGGUGCUGCGGUAUAAGGACGUGAUGCACACGGUGCCGUACACGCUCACCAUCGCUGUAGACGGUAAUGUCGCUCGCCAAGAUGUGGAUCCUGUCGUCAAGGCAAUUCUAAGCGACUGCUUCGCGAUGGUGGACAAGCACCUCAACUCCUUCAACCCGGGCAGCGAGGUGUCGCAGGUCAACAGGAUGCCGGUGGGAAAGAAGCACGUCAUGUCGGAGCACCUCUUCGAGGUGGUCAAGUGCUGCGAGGAGGUCUACAGCAGUAGCGGCAGCUGCUUUGACCCGGCCGCAGCACCGCUGGUGCACAAGCUGCGCGAUGCCGCUCGCCGGCAGGACUCCGCCGAGGGGGACUUCGCCAUCUCUGCGGAGGAGGCGGGGCGUUUCACCCUGACGAACAGCUUUGCCAUCGACAUCAAAGAAGGCACCAUCGCGCGCAAGCACGAAGAUGCGAUGCUAGACCUGGGUGGCCUGAACAAGGGCUACACCGUCGACUGCGUGGUGGAUCGUCUGAAUGCAGCCAACUUCGCCGACGUGCUGUUCGAGUGGGGCGGCGACUGCCGCGCCUCGGGUGUGAAUGUGCAGCGCCAGCCGUGGGCAGUCGGCGUUGUGCGUCCGCCAUCGGUCGACGAGGUCGUCGCGGCUGCCAAGUCCGGCAAGUCGGUGACAAUGAAUGCCCACAGCCUUGGGGAUCACACGGAUGAACCGGCGCAGUCGACGUCGGCCGCCGACGGGGCGGCCAAGGCUGAGCACAAGGCGCUCCUGCGCGUCAUGUCGCUCAGCAAUGAGGCACUCUGCACGAGCGGCGACUACGAGAACGUGCUCUUCGCCAACGCGCUUGGAUGCGCUCUCUCGAGCACAUACGACUGGCGUCGCCGCUGCCUCAUUGAGCCCUGCCGGAACGAACUGGCCCAGGUUAGCAUCAAAUGCUACUCGUGUCUGUACGCCGACGCACUCGCCACCGCGAGCUUCGUGAAGCGCGACCCCGUGCGCGUGCGGUACAUGCUCGAGCACUACCGCCACGAUUACAACCGCGUGACCGACUACGCCGCCUACACGCGCGAGGGGGAGCGGCUGGCACACAUGUACGAGAUCGCGCACGAGAGCCCGGCCUGUCGGAUAGAGCGCAUUGCCGGCUCGCUGCCAGCGCGUGUUGUUGUGAUCGGCGGCGGCCUUGCUGGUUGCGCGGCCGCCAUUGAAGCAGCCAGCUGCGGCGCUACCGUCAUUCUCCUGGAGAAGGAAGCCCGGCUGGGUGGCAAUAGCGCCAAGGCCACCUCUGGCAUCAACGGCUGGGGCACCCGCACGCAGGCGGUGAAUCACGUCCUCGAUAACUGCAAGUUUUUUGAGCGAGACACGUUCCUCUCCGGCAAGGGUGGCCACUGCGACCCUGGACUCGUGCGCACCCUCUCUGUAAAAUCCGCUGAAGCGAUUAGCUGGCUGGAGUCCUUCGGCAUCCCGCUAACCGUCCUCUACCAGCUUGGUGGCGCGAGCCGCAGGCGCUGCCAUCGCGCGCCGGAUCAGAAAGACGGCACUCCGGUGCCCGUUGGCUUCACGAUCAUGCGUCACCUCGAGGACUACAUCCGCACCAAGCUGCAAGGCAAGGUGACGAUCUUGAACGAGAUGGCGGUGGUGAGCCUCAUGCACGACGUGAGCGCGAUGCCGGACGGAAACCGCGAGAUUCGCGUGCACGGUGUCCGCUACAAGUCGAUGACCGAUGCGUCGGGGACGGUUAUGGAUCUGCCGGCGGACGCCGUCGUGCUUGCCACCGGCGGCUUCUCGAACGACCACACGCCCAACUCGCUGCUGCGUGAGUACGCGCCAAACGUGUACGGCACCCCCACCACCAACGGCACGUUCGCCACCGGCGACGGUGUGAAGAUGGCGCGCAAGCUGGGCGCCACGCUGGUAGACAUGGACAAGGUGCAGCUGCACCCGACCGGUCUCAUUGACCCCAAGGACCCGUCGAAUCGCACCAAGUACCUUGGCCCCGAGGCGCUGCGCGGCUCCGGCGGCAUCCUGCUGAACAAGAACGGCGAGCGCUUCGUGAACGAGCUGGACCUGCGCUCCGUCGUGUCGCAGGCGAUUAUCGCGCAGGACAACGAGUACCCGAACUCGGGUGGCAGCAAGUUCGCAUACUGCGUGCUGAGCGAGGAGGCAGCGACGCUCUUCGGCAAGAACUCCCUCACGUACUACUGGAAGUCGCAGGGUCUGUUCACCCGUGUGGAUGACAUGAAGGCGCUCGCCGAGCUCAUCGGCUGCUCGGUUGAAAGCCUGCAUCGAACCCUCGAGACAUACGAGCGCCAGAGCACGGGGAAGAAGGCCUGCCCGCGGACUGGCAAGCUCGUGUUCCCCAGUGUGGUGGGCACCAAGGGGCCCUAUUACGUGGCGUACGUCACACCGUCGAUCCACUACACCAUGGGCGGCUGCUUCAUCUCUCCGGCGGCGGAGCUGCUCAUGGAAGAUCACUCCGUCAACAUAUUCGAAGACAUGCAUCCCAUUCUUGGCCUCUUCGGUGCAGGUGAGGUAACCGGCGGCGUGCACGGCCGCAACCGUCUCGGCGGCAACUCUCUGCUGGAGUGCGUCGUGUUCGGCAAGAUCGCUGGCGACCGCGCGGCCACAAUUCUGCAGAAGGAGAAGCACGGGCUCCGCAAGGAUAAGUGGGUGCCGGUGGUGGUGCGGGAGUCGAGGGCGAGUGAUCAGUUCGGUGUUGGCUCGCGCGUGCUGCGCUUCAACCUGCCCGGCGCGACGCAGACAUCCGGAUUGACCGUUGGCGAGUUCAUCGGUAUCCGCGGUGACUGGGACGGCCAGCAAUUGAUUGGCUACUACAGCCCCAUCAACAUGCCCGACGACAAGGGCCGCAUCUCGAUUCUGGCGCGUGGUGACAAGGGCAACCUGCAGGAGUGGAUCUCGUCCAUGCGUCCUGGCGACUCGGUCGAAAUGAAGGCCUGCGGCGGUCUCCGUAUCGAGCUCAAGCCCCACCAGAAGCAGAUGGUGUACCGUAACACGGUCAUUCGGAAACUGGGCCUCAUCGCCGGCGGCUCCGGUGUGGCGCCGAUGCUGCAGAUUAUUAAGGCCGCGCUCAACCGCCCAUACGUGGACAGCAUCGAGACGAUCCGCCUCGUGUACGCUGCCGAGGACGAGUAUGAGCUGACCUACCGCUCGCUGCUGAAGCAAUACCGCGCCGACAACCCGGACAAGUUCGACUGCGGCUUCGUGCUGAAUAACCCUCCUGAAGGCUGGACAGAGGGUGUGGGCUACGUCGACCGUGCCACGCUGCAGAGCCUUCUCCCGCCUCCGUCGAAGGGCCUGCUCGUGGCCAUUUGCGGCCCGCCGGUGAUGCAGCGCUCCGUCGUGGCGGACCUGCUGGCACUAGGCUAUAACGCCGAAAUGGUGCGCACGGUGGAUGAGGAUGGCGCGCUCUAGGCAGUCGGCCAAAUGACUCCUUGCUGCUGCGAUGGUCACACAACCCCCUGCACACAUUUGUGUGUGUGUGUGUGUAAACACUCUGCCUCAGCGCAGGCUGGGAGGCCUGUGAUGCCCCCCAGGUAGGCGCCUCUCCCUCUCCGUGACGUGCGUGCACGCGUGCCAGACUGCGGAUGUGACAGACAUCUUUGUGAUCUUCAUUGGCCGGCAUGUUCUAUUAGCUUGUUCUGGUCUCUGUGUGGCACGCUCGUGACGAAAAUUGUUUCCCUUGUCUCGCGAUGCUACUGUCUGUCUCCCCAUCCACUGUC
rnacentral:misc_RNA from 1 species